rnacentral:hammerhead_ribozyme from 1 species
AGUCUCCUACGAGUCCCAAAUAGGACGAAAUGCGCGUCCUGAAU